UCGAACGCGUACGCCGAACGACGACGAAACUUUACCGUAACGAGCGCCUCUGUGUCGCGGGCGGAUUUCUCUUUGGGAGGCUCGAAAGUUUUCACUAACACGUAUCUAAUAAAACUUAUUUUUCCAAUGUUUAUCGUCGCGGCGGACGCGUACAGUGAUCGGAUUAGGAUAAUACAUGAACUUGACGAGGUCGUGGCGCCUGUGCGAACGCGAAUAGUGCAUAAUAGGAACCGGGGCGGUUGUUUAUUUCGGCGGCUGGUUACCGAGGCACCAGUGGGUCCAGUUCAAAAUGUUAUUUUCUCUAUAAAAGUGAUAGCGAGUGACGAUCGAGGUCGACCCGCCAACAAGGAGGAUAUCGAGCUUGUGUGGUAACAGGACCCCGUCGAUAUUCGUCAGUUACGCGAACGCAUUAUCGACCUAAAAGUGAAGCGUCGUAAAACACGGCGAGCUCCGCGUCCGCUAAGGACGGUCUCGAGGCUCCGCGUCCAGGACGUGCAACCAAUCGCAGCAGCAGCAGCAGUGGCGGCGGCAGAGGCGGCUUCGGCUUCGGCAGCGGCGACGGCAACGGCAGCAGUGCAGCCGGCAAGCAGCGACGACUACGGCCGAGAUUGAUUGAGGCGCGCGGCGCCGCGGCGGGCGCGAAGUGAAUUUAGAAAACAACAACAAUAGCAUAGGAAUUAGGAGGGCCUUUUGUUUUGUUAUCCAGCCAUCCCUGUGGCGGUGCGGCGGUGCGGUGCAGUCGGUGCGUGCGUGCUCGUGGCCAGAUUUUCGACGUGGCGGCGGUUUGUGGCGUCUGGUGGCGUGGUUCUCGAAAUGCAUCUCGAUAAGCGCCCGUGCGUGCGCGUACGUACAUAAUAAAUUGGUAACGUGGAAAGGCAAAGCACGGCGCGCCUGCAGCGAGGUGGUGCGCCGCGCGGCGGGCGACAGCGCGCGCGGCUACGCAGCACCAGAGGCAGCAGGGACCCCGCAAAUGAAGGUAUGUAACAUGUACCUAACCUAAGAAUUAUCACGGCGCAGCGCAGUGUCGAGUAACAUCCUAGCACACGUAAUUAAUAUGCCUAGUCAGUACAGCGUUGUACUUGUACGUUUUGAGACGACACUGAUAAAGAAACUGUCUUUUUAACAUUGGAU